CUAAAAUUAAUAAUAGAAAAUUUAUUGAUUUGUCUUGUAUCUUAGUUUAUUGAGGAUAAGCUCAAUAAAAAUAAUAAAAUAGUAUAGAUCUCAUUUAAUCUAGCUACAUAGGCUUGAAAUUAGCCACUGUAUUGAAAUUUGUUACAAAAUAGUCUUUGAAUGCAGAAAAAUUAAUAUACUUUUUUUUAUAGGGGUAACACGAAGGACUACAAUAUCUUGAUUCCCUUAUGCUAGGAUGAGUAUUGACAGAUAAGAUAUAUAAACAAAAAUAGAAAGAUAUACAAAAUAACUUUACUUAAAAUAAAAUAAGAAUAAGGAAUUCAGCAAACACUUGGCUCCGCCUGUUUAUCAAAAACAUGGCUCUUUGUUAGUUAGAUAUAAAGAGUCGGACCUGCCCAGUGAAGUUUUAACGGCCGCGGUACUCUGACCGUGCAAAGGUAGCAUAAUCAUUUGCCUUAUAAUUGAAGGCUUGUAUGAAUGGUUUGACGGGAGCAUUACUGUCUUUUUCUUACCUUAUAGAACUUGACCUCUAGGUGAAAAGGCCUAGAUAUAGCUGAAAGACAAAAAGACCCUGUCGAGCUUAAAAAGGAAUCAGAAUAACUUUAUUAUUCGAGAUUAAUUACUGACUAAUUUUUUUGGUUGGGGCGACCAAGGAACAAAAAAGCUUCCUUUAUUUUCUUAGCUAAUAAGCAUAGAUCCAGAAAAAGCUGAUUAAAAGAAAUAGUUACCGCAGGGAUAACAGCAUAAUCUCUCUUAAGAGAUCUAAUCGAAAGAGGGGGUUGUGACCUCGAUGUUGGACUAGAAUAUCCCAAAGAUGCAGAAGUCU
rnacentral:rRNA from 1 species